rnacentral:misc_RNA from 1 species
CGCUAUUAAAUUCACUCUGUUUCUCUCCAGCUAGAAAUCUUUUUAACGGAAUCAAUCAACCGUUCCUUCUAUUUCACGCCAUUUCUCUGUAACCGUUUUCUCUCUCUAAAAAUGAAAGUUCUCACUAUGCUCCGUUCCGAUACGUUUCCCUGUUCAUUCUGAAUCUCUCUGUCCUAUGUAUGACCUUUGUUGUGUUUCCACCGUCUCCGACCAUUCAUCGACCUAGUCCUUAACCA